AUGCUUAACACAUGCAAGUCGAACGGGAUGCUUAGGCAUCUAGUGGCGGACGGGUGAGUAACGCGUGAGAAUCUGGCUCCAGGUCGGGGAUAACAGUUGGAAACGACUGCUAAUACCGGAUGUGCCGAGAGGUGAAAGAUUUAUUGCCUGGAGAUGAGCUCGCGUCUGAUUAGCUAGUUGGUGGUGUAAGGGACCACCAAGGCGUCGAUCAGUAGCUGGUCUGAGAGGAUGAUCAGCCACACUGGGACUGAGACACGGCCCAGACUCCUACGGGAGGCAGCAGUGGGGAAUUUUCCGCAAUGGGCGAAAGCCUGACGGAGCAAUACCGCGUGAGGGAGGAAGGCUCUUGGGUCGUAAACCUCUUUUCUCAAGGAAGAAGAAAGUGACGGUACUUGAGGAAUAAGCAUCGGCUAACUCCGUGCCAGCAGCCGCGGUAAUACGGAGGAUGCAAGCGUUAUCCGGAAUGAUUGGGCGUAAAGGGUCUGCAGGUGGAACUGAAAGUCUGCUGUUAAAGAGUUUGGCUUAACCAAAUAAAAGCGGUGGAAACUACAGAACUAGAGUGCGGUAGGGGCAAAAGGAAUUCCUGGUGUAGCGGUGAAAUGCGUAGAUAUCAGGAAGAACACCGGUGGCGAAAGCGUUUUGCUAGACCGUAACUGACACUGAGGGACGAAAGCUAGGGGAGCGAAUGGGAUUAGAUACCCCAGUAGUCCUAGCCGUAACGAUGGAUACUAGGCGUGGCUUGUAUCGACCCGAGCCGUGCCGGAGCUAACGCGUUAAGUAUCCCGCCUGGGGAGUACGCACGCAAGUGUGAAACUCAAAGGAAUUGACGGGGGCCCGCACAAGCGGUGGAGUAUGUGGUUUAAUUCGAUGCAACGCGAAGAACCUUACCAAGACUUGACAUCCUGCGAAUCCUGGUGAAAGCUGGGAGUGCCUUCGGGAGCGCAGAGACAGGUGGUGCAUGGCUGUCGUCAGCUCGUGUCGUGAGAUGUUGGGUUAAGUCCCGCAACGAGCGCAACCCUCGUUUUUAGUUGCCAGCAUUAAGUUGGGCACUCUAGAGAGACUGCCGGUGACAAACCGGAGGAAGGUGAGGAUGACGUCAAGUCAGCAUGCCCCUUACGUCUUGGGCUACACACGUACUACAAUGCUACGGACAGAGGGCAGCAAGCCAGGGAUGGCAAGCGAAUCCAGAAACCGUAGCUCAGUUCAGAUCGAAGGCUGCAACUCGCCUUCGUGAAGGAGGAAUCGCUAGUAAUUGCAGGUCAGCAUACUGCAGUGAAUUCGUUCCCGGGCCUUGUACACACCGCCCGUCACACCAUGGAAGUUGGUCACGCCCGAAGUCAUUACCCCAACCGAAAGGAGGGGGAUGCCUAAGGUAGGACU
rnacentral:rRNA from 1 species